rnacentral:rRNA from 1 species
CCUACGGGUGGCAGCAGUGAGGAAUAUUGGUCAAUGGCCGGAAGGCUGAACCAGCCAAGCCGCGUGAAGGACGAAUGUGCCAAGCAUUGUAAACUUCUUUUGUCAAGGGACAAAAUCAGGCACGUGAGCCUGACCGAGGGUACUUUAAGAAAAAGCAUCGGCUAACUCCGUGCCAGCAGCCGCGGUAAUACGGAGGAUGCGAGCGUUAUCCGGAUUUAUUGGGUUUAAAGGGUGCGUAGGGGGGCUGUUAAGUCAGCGGUAAAAGCCCGGGGCUCAACCCUGGAGUGCCGUUGAAACUGGCUGUCUUGAGAGGACGAGAGGUAUGCGGAAUGCGCGGUGUAGCGGUGAAAUGCUUAGAUAUUACGAAGAACUCCGAUUGCGAAGGCAGCAUACCGGCGGCGAUCUGACGCUGAGGCACGAAAGCGUGGGUAUCGAACAGGAUUAGAUACCCGGGUAGUC